rnacentral:hammerhead_ribozyme from 1 species
AUUCAACCAACGAGUCCAAAAUAGGACGGAACACGCGUCCUGGAU